CUCUGGCCUCAGCUGGAUAAAUAGGGAACUCUGUGGACAGAGAGAUGUUCUCCCCAGGAGUUAUACUACAAACAUGCCCGUCGACAUAUGACAGGGAAUUCACACAUGUUCAACGUCUGUACUGUAAAUGACAUGUGAUGAGGCUGCUGCCAUUCCUGAGGGCAUUUUGCAUUCAGUUGUUAUCAGGGGGUAACUCAAUACACAGGGUUAGUGUUUCAAUCUAAUUUGAGGAGGAAAACUUAUUAUGAUUAAAAAGAUGAAUGGAUGCGAUUAAACGUAAAGCACAGCGCUUUUGUUAUAAGACAGUUGUAAAUUUAAGAUGCUUAGAUGAAGUUAAAUUUUUUUAACUGAGAAUUGAAUCAAACUCACAGAUAGAAAGUUUUGUCAGAGGUAAAAAAAAUUUUUUUUAAAAGUCUGCAUCCCAUUGAUGAAAUAUUUAGUUGUAUAAUAUUAGUCUGUUGUUUAAUGACCUGCCAAUCAGUUGGACAGAAGCAUCUUCUAUUCACAUUUGGUACAUUAACUUUAAAAUACUACAAUAAAUCUCACACUGUUUAAACACUCUUGCCGUGUUUCAAUAAUGGAUGUUACUUCAGAAUCUAAGUUAUCAAAGCCCACCUGAUAGAUCCUGUCAUCCUUGAUCAAUCCUUUUUAUUUGUAUCUAUGAUGUAGAUGUUUGCAUUACCACUGUAUAAUGCAUUUAACAUGCAAUCCAAAUCAGGUAACCACAUAAAUGAAUCCCCCAAAAAAUUGAAUCAUUACAACAGAUUUGAGAGGUUGAGAUUUGGGGAUUUUGACCAGCAACGCAUGUGGAGUGCUGAAAUGUCUUGUGAAUCCAGAGGCUCCCUGCUCCCCCAGCGCCACCACCAGCCCCAACCCCCCAACCACCAUCUACUCUGUGGACAGGUUUCAACCGGCAAACAGGCCCGAGCAGCGCUACCGCAUAUCUCACAGGGCGUCAUUCAAGUUCCCAGCAACUGCAAAUCUGAGAGGAUGGAACGCGGAGAGCACCCAGCACCACUGUGCUAUUCUAUAAUAUUGCUGAAUGGAUUCACCACAGUCAAUGAGGGGUCUUUCGCCUCCUUGGAGCGACAGGUAAACCACCUGCAAAACCACAGCAAACACCUCAUCAUUAUCUAAUAAUGACUUCUGGAGAUCCCCCUUUUUUGUUUGUUGACCUGUUCAUAUUUCCCUAGCUGUUUUUCCCCCUUGAGGAUAUGAUGUUGCUGUGUGGUGAAGACUCACACAUGAGUCUGAUUCAUAAAUCUGCAGGAUGAUAAACGGUCCGCCAGGCUGCGUUGUCAUGAAUCAGCAGAGCCAUCACGACAACGACAGCCGACGUUCAGCCACCUGGUGUGAAUGCCACAGAUACUCUGAGGCGUUUUCUUCAGAAACUAGUGCUCUUUGAUAUUAUGGCUUCCAUUAAGCAAAAUUCUAUUAACGUCAUGCAUAACUACCGGCUUCUUUCUCAUUGGAGACUUUCCCGGACCAUGCUUCACAUUUUUUUUAAUCCAACAAAUGACAGAAAACCAUAAAAGAUAAGCAAAACAGGAAAAGAUAAAAGUGUGCAAAAGACGCUGGCCAGCUCCAACUCCAGUUUCAUACCAGAGGAGGAAGUAAGACGCCGGCAACAAUGAAUGGAGUGCCUGUGUGCAGUCUGAGCUGGGGACAUCCGAGUCAUCACACACACACGUACAGUAAAUCAUGCUGUCAUGUUUGUCAGCCUCUGCGUCCACCCCCGAGGCAAAAGGAAACAAACAAACAAACCCCUUCUCUGCCAGUGACGCGUCCCGCCCAGCAGGCGAUUGAUGUCCUCUCGCUUUUCUGCCAAAGUGAAAUGUCAAGAUUUCAUAUUUCUCACACUGCCGCCACACAUUUGGAAAAAGAAAAAAACGGACACAGAUAUACAAAUUCUAUCUUUUAUUUCUACCAUUAAACAGAGACAAUUUGUGACUGAUUUUGAAAACAAAUAAAAAAUACUGUUUUUAA